UGGGCUCCAGCUGUAAAGGAGUGUGGAACAAUUAUAAAAACAACGAUAAAAACUCUUCCUCUGCUGGAUGCCUGAAGUGGUGUUGGAGGUGGCUGCAAACCCGUGCUCGGAAUCGGAGAAAAGCAGAGGGACCGUGGGGAAGAGUUUUCCAAAAAAAAUGUUUCCAUCUGAAUGAUAUGAACAAUUGUGAAAGCAAGACAAGAGCUACGGGUGGUACUUUCAGCCACAAAUACCUGCCAGAAGGACGUGAAAAAGCCCCCAUUGUUACCAGAAAAUUCCUGGCUCUUGAAGAGUGUGAAAAGUCAAGGACCAUAAAAAACUUGCUGGAAGCCUACGGGAGGAGCCUGUUUUGACCUCCCUCAUUUAUGGUGCCUGGGUUUAAUAGCUGUGCUGGGCAUCUUCAAUUGCUUUUUGAAAAGAAAGUUGGCUCAUCAUCUCAUGAACAGACUAAACCACUUGUUUCUUGACAAAAUAACAGGACAUGGAGACUUUCCCUCUCUCUUCAGUGUUUGCUGUAGCAUUGACCUGGGAUUCUCCCACACCAGGAACUUGGCUGACCAAGCAAACCAGAACAAUUUCCCUAAUUUAGUCAGUCUCCCCUUAUUUGAACAGCUUCUUUCCCUGCAGGCAG